GCAAGUAGAACGCUGAAGAGAGGAGCUUGCUCUUCUUGGAUGAGUUGCGAACGGGUGAGUAACGCGUAGGUAACCUGCCUUGUAGCGGGGGAUAACUAUUGGAAACGAUAGCUAAUACCGCAUAACAAUGGAUGACACAUGUCAUUUAUUUGAAAGGGGCAAUUGCUCCACUACAAGAUGGACCUGCGUUGUAUUAGCUAGUAGGUGAGGUAAUGGCUCACCUAGGCGACGAUACAUAGCCGACCUGAGAGGGUGAUCGGCCACACUGGGACUGAGACACGGCCCAGACUCCUACGGGAGGCAGCAGUAGGGAAUCUUCGGCAAUGGGGGCAACCCUGACCGAGCAACGCCGCGUGAGUGAAGAAGGUUUUCGGAUCGUAAAGCUCUGUUGUAAGUCAAGAACGGGUGUGAGAGUGGAAAGUUCACACUGUGACGGUAGCUUACCAGAAAGGGACGGCUAACUACGUGCCAGCAGCCGCGGUAAUACGUAGGUCCCGAGCGUUGUCCGGAUUUAUUGGGCGUAAAGCGAGCGCAGGCGGUUUGAUAAGUCUGAAGUUAAAGGCUGUGGCUCAACCAUAGUUCGCUUUGGAAACUGUCAAACUUGAGUGCAGAAGGGGAGAGUGGAAUUCCAUGUGUAGCGGUGAAAUGCGUAGAUAUAUGGAGGAACACCGGUGGCGAAAGCGGCUCUCUGGUCUGUAACUGACGCUGAGGCUCGAAAGCGUGGGGAGCGAACAGGAUUAGAUACCCUGGUAGUCCACGCCGUAAACGAUGAGUGCUAGGUGUUGGAUCCUUUCCGGGAUUCAGUGCCGCAGCUAACGCAUUAAGCACUCCGCCUGGGGAGUACGACCGCAAGGUUGAAACUCAAAGGAAUUGACGGGGGCCCGCACAAGCGGUGGAGCAUGUGGUUUAAUUCGAAGCAACGCGAAGAACCUUACCAGGUCUUGACAUCCCGAUGCUAUUUCUAGAGAUAGAAAGUUACUUCGGUACAUCGGUGACAGGUGGUGCAUGGUUGUCGUCAGCUCGUGUCGUGAGAUGUUGGGUUAAGUCCCGCAACGAGCGCAACCCCUAUUGUUAGUUGCCAUCAUUCAGUUGGGCACUCUAGCGAGACUGCCGGUAAUAAACCGGAGGAAGGUGGGGAUGACGUCAAAUCAUCAUGCCCCUUAUGACCUGGGCUACACACGUGCUACAAUGGUUGGUACAACGAGUUGCGAGUCGGUGACGGCGAGCUAAUCUCUUAAAGCCAAUCUCAGUUCGGAUUGUAGGCUGCAACUCGCCUACAUGAAGUCGGAAUCGCUAGUAAUCGCGGAUCAGCACGCCGCGGUGAAUACGUUCCCGGGCCUUGUACACACCGCCCGUCACACCACGAGAGUUUGUAACACCCGAAGU
rnacentral:rRNA from 1 species